rnacentral:pre_miRNA from 1 species
ACAAUAUUCGGACCGUCGGUCUACCGAGCCAUAUCACACGCUCGGUGGAAGAUCUUUCCUUUCGUCGU